GUCGACGGCCAUACCACGUUGAUAGCACCGGUUUUCGUUCGAUCACCGAAGUUAAGCACCGUCGCGUCGGGUGAAGUUAGUAUUCAGAUGGGGGACCGCUCGGGAACAUUUCGUGCUGUUGACU
rnacentral:rRNA from 1 species